rnacentral:sRNA from 1 species
AAGCUUAACCGGCCAGGGAUUCAUUGCACUGCCCCAUUCAGCCCCACUAACCUAUCUAGGCACCCCUAAAUUCCAGGGAAUGAAUUUAAAAACUAUCCAAUUAGGACACCCCGGGCCUAGCAAGGACCUAGGUGAGACGAGGCCUAGGCGCCCUUAAUAGGUGGUUAGUGCAAGCAAGGCCGUGAUGGCCAAUUGGUAGGCUGGAAUGCUGAGAUUGGCAGUCGGAAGGUCGGGGGAUUUAACUAGAAUUGGGUAGCUCUGGUGUUAUUCUUAGUGAGGAUCCCACUUAGGUAGGCUAGUUAAGGAACCCGGGUGGGCGGCGGUGCUCUAGGGGGAAUGAUAACCCCUAGAGUGGCCCGAGAGGACAGAGGCGGCGGCCGGUUAUAUAGGGUGUUAAAAUAUGUAUAUAGCUCAAGGUGUAAACUGCAGGG